UGUAACUUGCCCUAUUCCGCC
rnacentral:siRNA from 1 species